GUCGAAAUAGAUAACAGUUUAUUUGGGAGGAAGAUUAAGUAUAACCGGGGAAAACCAUCAGGGAACCCGAGUUUGGAUUUUUUGGAUAGUCGAUUAUUUGUUUUGUUGAAAUCCGAGCGAGUGUAAAAAUUGGCCCGAAAAUGGCUGCCCUAAACAAAUUUUCACCAUCACCAUUGGAUUUAUGGGGCUUUAUUCAUAAAAAAGGGGGAUUUUUAACACUUCGGACAAUAACUCAAAAAGGCUUUCACCAAUGUCCAUGAAACUUUGGUGAAUUGUUUAUAUCUAUUGAUGUAAGCUCCCUUUCAAUUUUUAUAAAUUUCAGAUUUUCAGUUUUGGAUUUAUGGGGCUUUAUUCAUAAAAAAAGGGGAUUUUUUAACACUUCGGACAAUAACUCAAAAAGGCUUUCACCAAUGUCCAUGAAACUUUGGUGAAUUGUUUAUAUCUAUUGAUGUAAGCUCCCUUUCAAUUUUUUUAAAUUUCAGAUUUUAAGUUUUGGAUUUAUUUGGCUUUAUUCAUAAAAAAGGGGGAUUUUUAACACUUCGGAC
rnacentral:lncRNA from 1 species